rnacentral:rRNA from 1 species
AUUGAACGCUGGCGGAAUGCUUUACACAUGCAAGUCGAACGGCAGCACGGACUUCGGUCUGGUGGCGAGUGGCGAACGGGUGAGUAAUGUAUUGGAACGUGCCCAGUCGUGGGGGAUAACGUAGUGAAAAUUACGCUAAUACCGCAUACGAUCUAUGGAUGAAAGCGGGGGAUCGCAAGACCUCGCGCGAUUGGAGCGGCCGAUAUCAGAUUAGGUAGUUGGUGGGGUAAAGGCCCACCAAGCCAACGAUCUGUAGCUGGUCUGAGAGGACGACCAGCCACACUGGAACUGAGACACGGUCCAGACUGCUACGGGAGGCAGCAGUGGGGAAUUUUGGACAAUGGGCGAAAGCCUGAUCCAGCAAUUCCGCGUGCAGGAUGAAGGCCCUCGGGUUGUAAACUGCUUUUGUACAGAACGAAACGGCGAGCUCUAAUACAGUUUGCUAAUGACGGUACCGUAAGAAUAAGCACCGGCUAACUACGUGCCAGCCGCCGCCGUAA